CCUACGGGAGGCAGCAGUGGGGAAUAUUGCACAAUGGGGGAAACCCUGAUGCAGCGACGCCGCGUGAGCGAAGAAGUAUUUCGGUAUGUAAAGCUCUAUCAGCAGGGAAGAAAAUGACGGUACCUGAGUAAGAAGCUCCGGCUAAAUACGUGCCAGCAGCCGCGGUAAUACGUAUGGAGCAAGCGUUAUCCGGAUUUACUGGGCGUAAAGCGCUCGUAGGCGGUAUGUCAAGUCAAGGGUGAAAUCCCCGGGCUCAACGUGGGAACUGCCUUUGAAACUGGCAAACUGGAGUGUGUGAGAGGAUAGUGGAAUUCCAGGUGGAGGAGUGAAAUCCGUAGAUAGCUGGAGGAACAUCAGUGGCGAAGGCGACUAUCUGGCACAUAACUGACGCUGAGGAGCGAAAGCGUGGGUAGCAAACAGGAUUAGAUACCCCUGUAGUC
rnacentral:rRNA from 1 species